UUUGUAAAUGGCCGCAGUAUUUUGACUGUGCUAAGGUAGCAUAAUCAUUAGUCUUUUAAUUGAAGGCUGGUAUGAAUGGUGGGACGAGAAAAUAGCUGUCUCUGAGGUAAAUUUUGAACUUUAUUUUUAAGUGAAAAAGCUUAAAUGUGUUUGGGGGACGAUCAGACCCUCUGGAGCUUUAUUUAUCUUUUUGUCUAUAUCUGUUUGAGAUGGUGAGAUAAGGAGAUAAAUUUUGUUGGGGCGACAGGAAGACUAAAAUAACACUUCUUUUUUAAAACGCUUUUAGGCGGGAUGCUGAUCCUUAAAGAAAGAUUAGAAGAUUAAGUUACCCUAGGGAUAACAGCGUAAUCUUUUUGGAGAGUUCUAAUCGAUAAAAAGGUUUGCGACCUCGAUGUUGGAUUAAGAAAUUGGCAAGGUGCAGAAGUUUUGUUGGAAAGUCUGUUCGACUUUUAAUUUCUUACAUGAUCUGAGUUCAA
rnacentral:rRNA from 1 species